UUGACCCUCAAUCAGGUAGGACUACC
rnacentral:rRNA from 1 species